rnacentral:rRNA from 1 species
UACCAGCUCCUCGAGUGGUCGGGGCGAUUAUUGGGCCUAAAGCAUCCGUAGCCUGUUCCGUAGGUCUUCUGUUAAAUCCAACGGCUUAACCGUUGGCCUGCAGGAGAUACCGCAAGACUAGGAGGCGGGAGAGGUGGACGGUACCCCACGUGUAGGGGUAAAAUCCUUUGAUCCGUGGAAGACCACCAGUGGCGAAGGCGGUCCACCAGAACGCGCUCGACGGUGAGGGACGAAAGCUGGGGGAGCGAACCGG